rnacentral:rRNA from 1 species
GGAUUUAUUGGGUUUAAAGGGUGCGUAGGCGGUUUGAUAAGUUAGAGGUGAAAUACCGGUGCUUAACACCGGAACUGCCUCUAAUACUGUUGAACUAGAGAGUAGUUGCGGUAGGCGGAAUGUAUGGUGUAGCGGUGAAAUGCUUAGAGAUCAUACAGAACACCGAUUGCGAAGGCAGCUUACCAAACUAUAUCUGACGUUGAGGCACGAAAGCGUGGGGAGCAAACAGGAUUAGAUACCCUGGUAGUCCACGCAGUAAACGAUGAUAACUCGUUGUCGGCGAUACACAGUCGGUGACUAAGCGAAAGCGAUAAGUUAUCCACCUGGGGAGUACGUUCGCAAGAAUGAAACUCAAAGGAAUUGACGGGGGCCCGCACAAGCGGAGGAACAUGUGGUUUAAUUCGAUGAUACGCGAGGAACCUUACCCGGGCUUGAAAGUUAGCGACGAUUCUGGAAACAGGAUUUCCCUUCGGGGCGCGAAACUAGGUGCUGCAUGGUUGUCGUCAGCUCGUGCCGUGAGGUGUCGGGUUAAGUCCCAUAACGAGCGCAACCCCUACCGUUAGUUGCCAUCAGGUCAAGCUGGGCACUCUGGCGGGACUGCCAGGUGUAACCGAGAGGAAGGUGGGGAUGACGUCAAAUCAGCACGG